GAUACUACACUUGAUCUUAGCCA
rnacentral:snRNA from 1 species